AUCGGGGCGAUUAUUGAAAUGAUAUCGACUGUAUGUCGCCGCUUACGACAGGACAUAGCCCUAUCUUAACUGUGUAAUAUAUCGCAAUUCGAUAUUGUUUUGAUUUUUAAAAGGAGCAAUUCAUUCAUACAGUUUCGAUUAGUUUUGGCUAACGGGACCUUAACCUACGGCACUCGGCUCAUGGGAAUUUUUUAACUUGUCCUGGACGGACUCGUCUGUAGCGCCUCGUUCUUCGUUGUGUGUGUGAUUUCGUGAAGAAGUUUCUAUGGCAAUUUGCUUUUAUUUGUGAGCUGUUUUUUCACGGGAUUUUUGAAUGUUCUGUACGAAUAAAUUCGGUGAGUACCUCAUUUAUCCCUCCCUCCAGUAAAAUUAUUUCAACUUUUCCUUCUCUCUCAUUCUGGACCCACUCAUGGGCUGAUUAUUUUCUCAUUCUUGAAACUUUAGACUGGCAAUUUCUAUGCACAAUCUAUAGCUCAUUAACCUAUAGUUCAAGAGUUCCUCACUAGUGUCUUGCUCUUCUUUUUUAUUUUUAAAGCCUCAAUGUAUUUAUAGAAUUUCAAAAAUUUAGUUUUUGAGUUGACUUAAAAAAUGUAGAAAAUAUAAUGCUGUUUUAAUUUUCAUUUCAGGUAAUGAGUCGACGCAGUCAAAGAAUAAUUCAUAGGGUGAACGUUGCAAAUGAUAUAUCGAACAAUGAUUCUGAUAUUACGCAUCCAGUAAAUGAAGCAGAAAAUUCAUUCAUCGAAAAUCUUGAAACACAUCAGUCGAACUCAAAGCCUAAAAAGAAGAUAAAAUCAAAGUCACGUGACUUAUCGUAAGUACAAACCUGCAACUUUGUUUUUUAUAAAAUAGGAAUAAUUUUAAAUUAACUGUAAAGCUUGGAAUAAGUAUGCAAUUUUUCCCUGCCAGGAAAUGUGAUAGUUUCAAGAAUAUACAAUUUUUUUUCUCUUUUUUUUAUUUCAACAAUGGGCAACCUUUACUUUUUGCCGAUGGAUUCGUUGGAACUCUGUUUCGGGUGUAUCUGAAUAGGAGGAAAACGAUAAGCUGAUAAAAAAUACAUAAAAGAACAGAAAAUACAUUCGGAAUGCUGUAACCUUUGAGACAGGUACACACCUACAUUAAAUUGUGCCAUGUCGAGGAAUUAUUUCUACCAGUUUUUGAAAAGAGUUGAUCCGUUUUCAGCAUUUGCCGGACUUAAUGUAACACCUCUAUUCCUCAAUUCCGGUGAGGAAUACGUCUCUACCCUUAACUCAAUAUAAAUAUACAAAUUGAUAAGUGAGUGCUUUUGUCUCCUGAAAACAGAAUUGCGAAACUUAAAAUUGGAGAAAAAUGAUGAGUAAAUGAAAAAAUGGAACCAAUUGAUGGGAUAUGUCGCAUGCCAUUCUGACACAAAAUAUGGCGUCUAUCGAAUCACCUUAACUAAAUAAAAUAACCAAAUUUUCAACUAUCAAACUAUCAACUAUCAACUAUCAAAUUUCAAACUAUCAA
rnacentral:lncRNA from 1 species